UACGAAGGGGGCUAGCGUUGUUCGGAAUUACUGGGCGUAAAGAGCGCGCAGGCGGUCGUGCAAGUCGCGUGUGAAAGCCCCCGGCUCAACUGGGGAGGGUCGCACGAUACUGCUCGACUCGAAGGCAGGAGAGGGAAGUGGAAUUCCCGGUGUAGUGGUGAAAUGCGUAGAUAUCGGGAGGAACACCAGUGGCGAAGGCGACUUCCUGGCCUGUUCUUGACGCUGAGGCGCGAAAGCUAGGGUAGCAAACGGG
rnacentral:rRNA from 1 species